ensembl:lncRNA
GGGGGUGUUGAUGGGGACUGGUGAUAUGUAAUGGAGGGUGUUGAUGGGGACUGGUGAUAUGUAAUGGGGGGUGUUGAUGGGGACUGGUGAUAUGUAAUGGAGGGUGUUGAUGACAAGGUAAAGCCAGCAUGGAGAACACUGUACAGGGGACUGGUGAUAUGUAAUGGAGGGUGUUGAUGGGGACUGGUGAUAUGUAAUGGGGGUGUUGAUGGGGACUGGUGAUAUGUAAUGGGGGGUGUUGAUGGGGACUGGUGAUAUGUAAUGGAGGGUGUUGAUGACAAGGUAAAGCCAGCAUGGAGAACACUGUACAGGGGACUGGUGAUAUGUAAUGGGGGUGUUGAUGGGACUGGUGAUAUGUAAUGGGGGGUGUUGAUGGGGACUGGUGAUAUGUAAUGGGGGGU